rnacentral:rRNA from 1 species
CACGUAGGGUGCGAGCGUUUGUCCGGAAUUAUUGGGCGUAAAGAGCUCGUAGGCGGUGUGUCGCGUCGGCCGUGAAAACCUGCAGCUUAACUGUGGGCUUGCGGUCGAUACGGGCAUCACUGGAGUUCGGCAGGGGAGACUGGAAUUCCUGGUGUAGCGGUGGAAUGCGCAGAUAUCAGGAGGAACACCAGCGGCGAAGGCGGCGCUCUGGGCCGGUACUGACGCUGAGGAGCGAAAGCGUGGGUAGCAAACAGG